UACGAAGGGGGCUAGCGUUGCUCGGAAUUACUGGGCGGAAAGGGCGCGUAGGCGGAUGUCUAAGUUGGGGGUGAAAUCCCGGGGCUCAACCUCGGAACCGCCUUCAAUACUGGAUAUCUUGAGUUCGGGAGAGGUGAGUGGAAUGCCGAGUGUAGAGGUGAAAUGCGCAGAUAUCAGGAGGAACACCUAUUGCGAAGGCAGCUCGCUGGGACGUUACUGACGCUGAGACGCGAAAGCGUGGGGAGCAAACAGG
rnacentral:rRNA from 1 species